rnacentral:misc_RNA from 1 species
AAGUCGUAACAAGGUUUCCGUAGGUGAACCUGCGGAAGGAUCAUUACCGAGAUAGGGUCCUUCGGGGCCCGACCUCCAACCCUUUGUCUACCUUACCACUGUUGCCUCGGCGGGUCGCCGGCGCCUUUUACUAGGCGUCGCCGUCGGCCUCCGCGCUCUCGAGUGCCCGCCGCCAGGCCCCUUUAAACCCUUUGUAACCGAGACUUCUGAGCGUAAAAUCAAUACUUUAAAACUUUUAACAACGGAUCUCUUGGUUCUG